rnacentral:rRNA from 1 species
ACAUGCAGUCGAACGGCAGCGCGGGAGCAUCCUGGCGGCGAGUGGCGAACGGGUGAGUAAUACAUCGGAACGUGCCCAAUCGUGGGGGAUAACGCAGCGAAAGCUGUGCUAAUACCGCAUACGAUCUACGGAUGAAAGCAGGGGAUCGCAAGACCUUGCGCGAAUGGAGCGGCCGAUGGCAGAUUAGGUAGUUGGUGAGGUAAAGGCUCACCAAGCCUUCGAUCUGUAGCUGGUCUGAGAGGACGACCAGCCACACUGGGACUGAGACACGGCCCAGACUCCUACGGGAGGCAGCAGUGGGGAAUUUUGGACAAUGGGCGAAAGCCUGAUCCAGCCAUGCCGCGUGCAGGAUGAAGGCCUUCGGGUUGUAAACUGCUUUUGUACGGAACGAAACGGUCUUUUCUAAUAAAGAAGGCUAAUGACGGUACCGUAAGAAUAAGCACCGGCUAACUACGUGCCAGCAGCCGCGGUAAUAC